ensembl:lncRNA
CCUGUGCCUGGAUGAAAUUGGGAGGAACCAGAGCAGCAGAGCCCCAAACCACUCCCCACCCUAUAACUGCUGGUGCUUUGUAGUAAUGAAGCCAACCUGAAGCCAGAGGUUUAGGAACAAGACAAGAACAUCCUAUUUCAUGCACACAAUUGGUUGAUAGAGCCCACAGAGACAGCUGGAUCUACUCAUGCAGUGCCAGCCUCACCCCUGAGACAUGAUAGUGAAGGUUAAAGUGAACAGAUUUGGCCAUAUUAUGUGCCUGGUUACCAGGACUGCUUUCAACUCUGGCAAGGUGGAUGUUGUUGUCAUCAAUAUCCCCUCCACUGACCUCAUCUAUGUGGUCUGCAUGUUCCAGGAAGACCCACAACACAGUCAUGACUGAGAGUGGGAAACCUGUCAUCAACAAGAAAGCCAUCUCCGUCUUCCAGGAGUGAGAUCCCACCAGCAUAAAAUGGGGUGAUGCUGGUGCCAAGAACGUUACUGGUAUGAUGCUGGUGUCUUCACUACCAUAAAGAAUGUCAAGGCCCUCUUGGAAGGGUAGAACCAACAGAGUCUUCAGUCUUCAUCUCCUCCACUUCUAUUCAUGUUUUUCAUGGCUGUCAUUCAAGACUGUCAGCAAUGCCUUCUGUACUACCAACUGCUUAGCCCCUCUGCCAAGGUCAUCCAUGACAGCUUCAUCAUCAUCAAGGGACUUAUGUCCACAGCCCAUGCUAUCACUGAUACCCAGUAGGCUAUAGACAACCUCUCUGGACAACAGUGGUGUGAUGGUCACAAGGCUGCCUAUAACAUCAUCUCUGUGUCUACCUACCAGUGCUACCAAGACUGUGGGCAAGAGCACAACAGAGCUGAACAAGAAGCUCAUUGUCAUGGCCUUCUAUGUUCCCAUCCCUAAUGUGUCUAUCAUGGAUAUGGCAUGCCUCCUGGAGAAAGCUGCCAAGAACAGUGAUAUGAAGACAGUGGUGAAACAGGCACUGGGAGUAGAUUCUAAAGGGCACCGAGGACCAGGCUGUUUUCUGUGACUUUAAACAGUGACACCCACUCUGCUAUCUUUGAUUCCAGGACUGGCAUUGUUCUCAAUGACCACUUUGCCAUGCUCAUUUCCUGGUAUGACAACAAAUUUAUCUACCACAGAAUGGUGUGUCUCCUGGACCACAUGUCUUCUAAGGAGUGAAAUUCUCUGGACCACUGUGACCACACUCUCCAGCAAGAACAUCAGGAAGAGAGAGGCCUUUAGCUGCUGAGGAGUCCCCAUUCCAAAUCAGUCCCUAACACUGAGCACAUUCCCUCACAGUUUCUGUAGCACGAAUAAUAAAAACCCAGAGACAGAUUCUCGGGGUUCAAGCUGAAGAGCAGAAAGGCAAAGCAGCCAGCCAGUAGUUCUUACCUCUACCAGUGCUCAAUGUAGAGUGAUCCAUUGAAGCUCAGAUUGCGUCUCCAGACUGCACUGUUGCUCACCAAAUCCCAGACUUCUGCCUGAGACUGAGCUCCUUAUAUUCUCUCUAGUGAUUCAUUCUCAUGUAGGCCGGGGUGGCCUUGAACUCACAAAGAUCCAUCUGCCUCUGUCUCCUGAGUCCUGGGAUUAAAGGUGUGUGCCACCACUGCCAGGCUUCUGUGGCUAACUAGUAUGGCUGGCUUUGCAUUCUGAUCUUCAGGGGCUUCAUUAGAUCAUAAACAACAUAUCACAACUUCCUGUUCCAGACCUCCAGAAGUACACAAGGGACUUAAGGGGACCAUCAAUAAAGUUCACUGUGCCACCCACCCCCCAAAAGAGAGAAAGUUGGUGAGGUUACUACGUUAUGUCUGGUAUUCAGUAUAUUGUGACAUAAAGGAAAUCCCCCAAAGAUCUUUGGACCACACUUAACCCAUUGCAGUGUAGUUUAGUGGUCUGAAGUGCACUGUCUCAUGCACCUUCUGUGGGCCAAAAACUUAGGCACAGACUAACUGACCUGGGGCUGUGGUCCAGGUGCCAGCCAGGUCUGCAGUCAUCUGAAGCUGAGAGUCUGUUGCUGCUGCUCAAGUGAUGCAUUGCCUACUGGAUUCUCACAGCUAGGUGAGAGUGGGCAAUAAAAAUAAAAUUAACAUUUUCCUCCACAUUCCUCUCCGAAUUGGAAGGGAUGGAUGAUGCUGGAAAGGUGGCUCAAAGGAGCUCACACUGCUCUUACAGAAGACCAGAGUUCAUUUCCUAGCAUCUGUGUUAGAUGGCUGGGUGACCACCUGUAAUUCCAGCUCCAGGGAAUCUUACACUCUCUUUUGACUUCUAUGGGCAACUGCACUCACAUUCACACAUACCCCAAACACACAACUACACGCAUAUUUAAAAAUAAAAGCUUAAAAUAAUCAGAGACCGGCUUGAUAGUUCCAAGUGAGUGUCAGGGUAAUUGUUUGUAGGCUAGAAGUCUCAUACUUCUGACUUUCAUGAAGAUUGUCCGGUGGAACCCGAGCCUACUUAAACACAGCCUUAGCCAAAAUAAACGGCCCUCCAGCUCUGGAGCUCGUAACUAUGAACAUCUGUGCUGCCACGACCUACUCUACUCUUCCCCUACCCUUUGUGUGAAGAGUCUGCAAAGCAAAAAGACUCCAGGAGAAACUAAGUCGCAGUGUGCUUAGAUCCGGUCUAUAGGACAGAGAGAAGUCUAAAAUGCAUUGUGACCCGCUAAUCAUUUUUCACAGCUAACCAAGUGAUCACUGAUUAAAAAUAGCAUUGAACGUGUAUUGGGCAUCUAUUUCGGGCCUCAUUUUAUUUGGAAUGCAAAUCCUGUUGGAAGCCGGAGCGGCAUAAGCAGCAGCUGGAAAUCGACUCGGAACGUUCCAGCCAAUUCACGUCGAGCCCAGUUGGCAGAAUUAAUGUCAUUCUGCCGUCUCAGCGAAGGAGAGGUGGUUAAUUAUGCCCCACUGCCCAGCGGUUUCUAUUAUGGACACAUCUGGACUAAAAGGCUCAUUUGAAAUCUCCAAUCUUUCAGCUUCCUGGAGCCUAAACCAAGUUGAGGAGUUGAUUUGUGAUGAGGAGAGCAGAGGGAGUUUGAGCAAACAGCUUCCCCAUGGGACCCAGAGAAGCUCUGAUGAAAGUCCGCUGGUUCAGCCCCAGUGCUUAGACAUCUUCCAUCGGUGUUGCCUACUAGUUCCUAACACGCAGUGUCUGGACAGGUUGUGCUGUAAAUAAUAAAUAAAGCACGCGCAUUUAUGCCUGACCCUCAGGGCAAGUGAGUUUAGUUUCCAUGGGGCCCACUACUACUGCGGGCUGUGAUAUUUUCAUCUUUCCUAAAGGAAGGUAAGGCUGGGGCCUUGUCUGCUUUGAACAAAAAGCCUUUCAAGAAAUGUCUAUGCCCUUUAUCAAGACACAUAGCUGUCUGUUGUAAGAAAAACUUCCCUCCGAGUGAUGGCUGCCUUCUUUCUGGGUUGGCGGCAGAAACCACUCCGUGAGGAUUUAUCUGUUGGAGGUGCCAUCUUUGAGAGGAAAAUUAAAACAGACCAUCACUCAAACCCACGGGUGGCCAUGGAAAUCCUUCAGGGUUUCAGUUUGAGGAACCAGAUCACUUUCCUCUUUGCAUUUGUAUUUUCCAUUGUACAUAUUGAGGAAGUUCGGUUUGCUAAUGUGAAAAUAAAAAGCGAUCAAAUCAGAAUAA